UACGGGGGGAGCAAGCGUUGUUCGGAUUUACUGGGCGUAAAGGGCGCGUAGGCGGUCGUGACAAGUCACUUGUGAAAUCUCCGGGCUUAACUCGGAACGGUCAAGUGAUACUGUCGGACUAGAGUACAGAAGGGGCAACUGGAAUUCCCGGUGUAGCGGUGAAAUGCGUAGAUAUCGAGAGGAACACCUGCGGCGAAGGCGGGUUGCUGGGCUGACACUGACGCUGAGGCGCGAAAGCGUGGGGAGCAAACAGG
rnacentral:rRNA from 1 species